rnacentral:rRNA from 1 species
UACGAAGGGGGCUAGCGUUGUUCGGAAUUACUGGGCGUAAAGCGCACGUAGGCGGAUAUUUAAGUCAGGGGUGAAAUCCCAGAGCUCAACUCUGGGACUGCCUUUGAUACUGGGUAUCUCGAGUAUGGAAGAGGUGAGUGGAAUUCCGAGUGUAGAGGUGAAAUUCGUAGAUAUUCGCAAGAACACCAGUGGCGAAGGCGGCUCACUGGCUCGAUACUGACGCUGAGGUGCGAAAGCGUGGGGAGCAAACAGG